GUGUGUUACUGCAGAUACACCUGCGAUCGAAUCAUGUCUUCAGAUUGCAACCAAAACCAUAAGCUUUAAUGUCAAGUACUUAUGCAAACUUUAGAACACCAAUUACUGAAAUAAAUACACGAGACUGGUUUUAUUCUGUUGUCUUGUGUAGUUUAACAACAUUUGUACUGUUUUAAAGUUAAUAGUGUGUGCAAAUAAGUGUUACAUAAAUCUAAAGUUAAUGCAUUGGUUUAAACUGAUUACUAAAUAUUGAGUCAGCAUAAUGCAUGACUUCAGUUUUAUUUAUAAAUUAGCUAGAAAGCCAUGCAUUACUUCUGCAACUUUAUCUACAUUUUGCAUAAACUGUAAAGUGAUGAUUUCAGUCCGUCUGUGUUCUGGUGACUGUAUGCAGUUCUCUUUAACACUGCCUCGUGAUCCGUGCACUAACAGAUCAGUCUGUGAUCGUCUUUCUCUGGGUGCGAGUCUAACCUGCUGCUCUCUUGUUGUUUCAGGAGUUCUGGUUACGGUGAUCGCGGCAGCUCUUACAGAGAUGGUUAUGAUAGUUAUGCUGUACAAGACUAGAACCCAAGACCCGACGCGUCAGCGGCCGAGCGUUUCUAAAGACUCAUGGAUCUGUUCUCGGAUUUGUUGUAGCUGUUCUCCCUGUUUCUGUUCUGUUCUUGUAUUCUGAGGGAAAGGCCGCUUUCUGUUCACCGGCUAUGAAUGAAUGAAUGAAUAUCGACGGGUUCCUCUUCUGCCUCGUUUGAAACCUUAAACUCAUCCCGAGCCUCACUGUCAUGUUAGCGCUCACUGUGCUUCUGUGGGCCGUCUGGAGAGCCACGCGCUCCUCUGUUUGUUACUGAUGCGCAGCUGCUGUCAUGUUAAGAGCACGGCUCCUUCUGUUAGCUGUAAGCCAAUGAUCUGUCCAUGUCCCGUAUCCAAAAAGUCACUUCCUUUCAGGCUGGUGAGCUGCGCAUCGGACGGCUGGCACCGGCGCUGCGGUUCUUGAGCCUUGCUGAGGUAUCUGUGUCGCUGCUCCUCGCAUCCUGCAUUUUAACCAUGGACUCUUGACUAAUAUAUCUCUCUCUAUCAAUCAUUCACUUGAAAGAGAACCAGAAAUUGUUAACAGUGCUCCACAACUGGGAAAGAAAUCCUUGUGCUCUUGUUUCCUUUGUAUGAAAAUUUGACUCACUAUUUUUGUUUUUUAAUUUUUUUUGCUUUUCAAUUGUGGCUUCAUGGAGCCUAUUAAACGAAACCAUUUGUUCAAA